AACGGGCUUACCAAGGCAAUGAUGCAUAGCCCGAGUUGAGAGACUGAUCGGGCCACAUUGGGGACUGAGACACGGGCCCAAAACUCCUACGGGGAGGCAGCAGUAGGGAAUCUUCCACAAUGGACGCAAGUCUGAUGGAGCAACGCCGCGUGAGUGAAGAAGGGUUUCGGCUCGUAAAGCUCUGUUGUAGUGAAGAAGAUAGAGGUAGUACUCGUCUUUAUUGACGUAAUUACUUAGAAGUCACGGCUAACUACGUGCCAGCAGCCGCGGUAAU
rnacentral:rRNA from 1 species